rnacentral:misc_RNA from 1 species
GCUUGUGUUUCAUAAUCUUAGUCAUCAUUAGAUCACAUAUGAAAUAACAGACUUGGUUUCACCCAUAGGACUUCAAAACAAACGACAACUCACAAGGUUGCACCACACAAGUCAAGGCAACACUAGCAAGUGAGAUAAGUGCAAGGAACAGCCAACGAUGUGCCUCCAUUGGCCAAUGUGUGGAUCAAUGAUGCUUUUAAAGAAAAGGCGCGUAAGCUUCACGUGCUGGAGCUCUGGUGACCAACUUACAGGGGAAGGCCGAUUAGUUACCAAGGAAGCCUCUAGGGUGGGUGGUGAGAAUAAGGAGUCACCCUAAGUGACCUAAAAUAGUUUUUGGAAA